rnacentral:lncRNA from 10 species
CAGCUGCGCACCACCACACCCAGCUAAUUUUCAUAUUUUUAGUAGAGACGGGGUUUCACCAUGUUGGCCAGGCUGGUCUUUAACUCUUGACCUCAGGUGAUCUUCCCACCUCAGCCUCCCAAAGUGCUGGGAUUACAGAUGUAAGCCACCUUGCCAGACCAUAAUUUACUUUUGAAUUAUGUUUAUUAUUUACCAGUCUUCUCCAGUAUACAUUUUUCUCUCUUUUUUUUUUUUUGGCUGAUGUAUCUCUAAUAUAUUUUGAGUAUUCAUUAAAUGUUUGUCAAAAGAAGGAGUCAAGUAAGGAAGGAUUUAAAAAGCUUCGUUUGUUUUAUAAUCAUUUAUAUACAUUUCCAAAAUUUUUUGAAGCAACUUAUAUUAAAACAUACAUACAAAUUUUUUAAGAUAAAAAAGCUGUGGUCACCCCACAUUUAUGUAUGUAUUUAUUUAUUUUGGAUAUAAGUAAGGGAUAAGUAACCAAACUUGGUCAAUAUUAGAUAAACUUCAAGGGACCUUUUUUUUUUUUAGUUUCCUAGUUAUCUAUAUUGAACCAAGAAAUGGAACAGCAAGUUCCUUAGUUGCUUAGGUGGACCUAUUCAGAACUGGUUGUAAGUCUGCAGUCUGAAGGGAAAUGGUGAGCAGAGGACUCCUUUCCCAAAGACAGCUGGAACAGAAAUAGGCACUCCAGAGGUUAUGGAAUUUGAGAGAGAUACUCAGCCUCUAGCCACUCCCAUUCAAUCUCCCAGCUUAGUCUUCUGAGCAUUCUUAAUCUUACUAUUCUUUUCUUAAUGUAUUCAAACCAAAAGACAGCAAUUUUUAGAGCCUGAAUAGGUUUUGGAGGGAAAAGUAAUUACGUUCAACUUCGAUUGAAACUCUUGCCUCAAGAAUGAAGAACAGCAAAAAUUAAAUCACAGUUUCUUAGCUUUUUGGUUAAAGAUGUAAGUUAAAUUCUUGGCCGGGUGCGGUGGCUAACGCCUGUAAUCCCAGCACUUUGGGAGGCCAAGGCGGGUGGAUCACCUGAGAUCAGGAGUUCAAGACCAACCUGGCCAACAUGGUGAAACCCCAUCUCUACUGGGUGUGGUGGUGUGUGCCUGUAGUCCCAG